GUCUCCGUGGCGCAGUGGAAAGCGCACCAGGUUGCGGACCUGGGGGCCGCAGGUUCGAAUCCUGCCGGAGACA
rnacentral:tRNA from 1 species